rnacentral:rRNA from 1 species
GACGAACGCUGGCGGCGUGCUUAACACAUGCAAGUCGAACGGAAAGGCCCUGCUUUUGUGGGGUGCUCGAGUGGCGAACGGGUGAGUAACACGUGAGUAACCUGCCCUUGACUUUGGGAUAACUUCAGGCAACUGGGGCUAAUACCGGAUAGGAGCUCCUGCUGCAUGGUGGGGGUUGGACAGUUUCGGCGGUUGGGGAUGGACUCGCGGCUUAUCAGCUUGUUGGUGGGGUAGUGGCUUACCAAGGCUUUGACGGGUAGCCGGCCUGAGAGGGUGACCGGCCACAUUGGGACUGAGAUACGGCCCAGACUCCUACGGGAGGCAGCAGUGGGGAAUAUUGCACAAUGGGCGGAAGCCUGAUGCAGCAACGCCGCGUGCGGGAUGACGGCCUUCGGGUUGUAAACCGCUUUCGCCUGUGACGAAGCGUGAGUGACGGUAAUGGGUAAAGAAGCACCGGCUAACUACGUG